rnacentral:rRNA from 1 species
UACGGGGGGGGCAAGCGUUGUUCGGAAUUACUGGGCGUAAAGGGCGCGUGGGCGGCCUUCUAAGUCAGACGUGAAAUCCCUCGGCUCAACCGAGGAACUGCGUCUGAUACUGGAAGGCUUGAAUCCGGGAGAGGGAUGUGGAAUUCCAGGUGUAGCGGUGAAAUGCGUAGAUAUCUGGAGGAACACCGGUGGCGAAGGCGGCAUCCUGGACCGGUAUUGACGCUGAGGCGCGAAAGCUAGGGGAGCAAGCGGG